rnacentral:rRNA from 1 species
UACGUAGGGGGCGAGCGUUGUCCGGAAUCAUUGGGCGUAAAGCGCGUGUAGGCGGCCCGGUAAGUCCGCUGUGAAAGUCCAGGGCUCAACCCUGGGAUGCCGGUGGAUACUGUCGGGCUCGAGUCCGGGAAGAGGCGAGUGGAAUUCCUGGUGUAGCGGUGAAAUGCGUAGAUAUCGUAAGGAAGACCAGUGGCGAAGGCGGGUCUCUGGACAGUUCCUGACGCUGAGGCACGAAGGUCAGGGGAGCAAACGGG